AACUCCUACAACUUCACAUGCUAAUGGUAGAAAGCAAGCAGACCAUGGAGAUGCACAACAACAAUGGAGGUUGUUGGCAUGAAGAGAGAGACAGACACACGUUCUCUGUUUGUGUGCUUGUGUGCUACUCAAUAUUGUUAUAAUAGACCAGCAAGAGCAGAGAUUGUGAGAGGAUAAGUGGUGGAGCACAUUGAGUGAUACGUCAGCGUAAGAUUUAGUAACUUGGC